rnacentral:rRNA from 1 species
GAUGAACGCUGGCGGCGUGCCUAGUACAUGCAAGUCGAGCGAACAGACGAGGAGCUUGCUCCUUUGACGUUAGCGGCGGACGGGUGAGUAACACGUGGGUAACCUACCUAUAAGACUGGGAUAACUUCGGGAAACCGGAGCUAAUACCGGAUAAUAUUUCGAACCGCAUGGUUCGAUAGUGAAAGAUGGCUCUGCUAUCACUUAUAGAUGGACCUGCGCCGUAUUAGCUAGUUGGUAAGGUAACGGCUUACCAAGGCAACGAUACGUAGCCGACCUGAGAGGGUGAUCGGCCACACUGGAACUGAGACACGGUCCAGACUCCUACGGGAGGCAGCAGUAGGGAAUCUUCCGCAAUGGGCGAAAGCCUGACGGAGCAACGCCGCGUGAGUGAUGAAGGUCUUCGGAUCGUAAAACUCUGUUAUUAGGGAAGAACAAACGUGUAAGUAACUGUGCACGUCUUGACGGUACCUAAUCAGAAAGCCACGGCUAACUACGUG